GCACCUGGAUAGCUCAGUUGGUUAGAGUGUGGUCCUGAUAAUGCCAAGGUUGCAGGUUUGAUCCCCGUAUAGGGCA